rnacentral:pre_miRNA from 1 species
AGAUUUUCUGUUGUGCUUGAUCUAACCAUGUGGUUGCCAGGUCUGAGUACAACAUGGUUCCGUCAAGCACCAUGGAACGUCA